rnacentral:rRNA from 1 species
UACGAAGGGGGCUAGCGUUGCUCGGAAUUACUGGGCGUAAAGCGCACGUAGGCGGUCUUUUAAGUCGGGGGUGGAAUCCUGGAGCUCAACUCCAGAACUGCCUUCGAUACUGGAAGACUCGAGUCCGGGAGAGGUGAGUGGAACUGCGAGUGUAGAGGUGAAAUUCGUAGAUAUUCGCAAGAACACCAGUGGCGAAGGCGGCUCACUGGCCCGGUACUGACGCUGAGGUGCGAAAGCGUGGGGAGCAAACAGG